AAGGAUCUCAUACCUGUACUAAAGGUUAAUUUAAAGGUGAACAACCCCUUUUAUCCAUCUUUCUAGGCCCUUUCCUACUGAUCUUCUAUUCUGACUUCCAAUCUGCUGUUUGGUUGGUGGGAUCAUUAAGCCCAAGCAACCAGAUAGCAUUGAAAAUUCCAGUCCUAGGAAGAAUCUUUAACACCUUUAUGUUACAGCUUUGAGUGCAGUUUGGAAUUAUAAUCGCCAUAACUCACGCUGCAGGACUCUAUUACGGUGUUCUUUGGAGCAGGUGACGCUGAAGGUGCCAUGGAUAGAGACAUACAGGAGAAACAAAGCCGAAUGCAGGAGGUCAACAAAUACAGAGAUUAACGGCUACUGGAAGGACCUGCUAGAUAUAAAGGGAAACAUUUGUAUAGCUGAACAGCCGGACUGCCGAACAGCCGAAGAGGCGAAAAGACCCGAAGUCACGAAAACAGGCAAAGUUGAAGUCCUGAAGUGCCGAAAAGGCAAGAA